UACGGGGGGGGGCAAGCGUUGUUCGGAAUUACUGGGCGUAAAGGGCGCGUAGGCGGCGCGGUAUGUCACCUGUGAAAUCUCCUGGCUCAACUGGGAGCUUGCAGGCGAAACUGCCGUGCUGGAGUGUGGGAGAGGUGCGUGGAAUUCCUGGUGUAGCGGUGAAAUGCGUAGAUAUCAGGAGGAACACCUGUGGCGAAAGCGGCGCACUGGACCACAACUGACGCUGAGGCGCGAAAGCUAGGGGAGCAAACAGG
rnacentral:rRNA from 1 species